ACUGCUAAUUUGACUUUCCGGUCGGCGGCUGAUCCCGGAGCAGGACUUCUUAAGGUCCGGGGGCAAAAGUAGGCUGUCCAUAAAUACUCCUUGACCUAGCUGGGUGACCUCGAACACAUUGCAAGAGUAAAUAAUUGCAUUUAGCCAUUGGUCAUACCCGAAGACUUUCAGUCCAUUUUUUAUUAAUCAAAACGUUCAUCUGUGGAAGCCCCACCACCUAGUCCUCACUCACAUCAGCCCGGUGAUAAAGCAGAUACUUAUUGACCGAGUAUACGUGUCCGCACAAUUAACGCACACAACAAUCUGACAAAGUAGUGUCUACUGUCUGCAUUUUACAGAAAAGUCAACUAGUUUAGAAAAGUACUGUUGGUUAUGUGUAUUGCUUUUAGAAGAAAGGCCAAUGUGCAAAUAGAAGUCAGUGGGACCACAUUGCUUACCAGGUGACCCGGUUUCUACUUCAGAGAAGCAGAAGCCUUCAGGCAUGGAUUUCUACAGCUUUUGCCCAACCACCUGACCAACCCCCAUAGAUUAUAUCUACGUCCACACCCAGACUUACUAGUUUUCCUUCUAUCUCGGAGGCUAGAUGUCCCUGCUCCUCUCCACUGCCUGCUCCCCACUGUGGGCGGUCCUUGGCACAUCUUUAACUUCACCCUCUCCACUGCCUACAACUCCUCAGCAUAAUCACGUUUUAAGAUUAGGUCCUAAAUUUUCCCUUGAUUUUAAAACCUCUGGUUCUCUCUCCCCUUCCAUUUUAACUGAGCUUUUUGAAAGAACUGUGUACCAAAAACAACCCCAACACUUCAUGAGUGUGUACAGAAUUCAACAAGUAUCUCUUGACUGAACAAUGCACAUUCCCGCCUACCUCCAUGCAUUAGUUCUUGUCCUCUGGCUUCAUAGUUGAAAUUGGUGCACAUUAUAUCCACAAAGAUCAUUCGAAAAUAUACAUCUGUGUCAUUCCACUGCUUAAAAUCAUUCUUUGGCUUUUCGGAGCUCUCCUGACAAAGAUUAACGUGAUAUUCAAGGUUCCUUUGAUGCUCACAUGCUCUAUCUCUCCUGUUAUGAAAAACUCUUCACAGUGCCCCAUAUGUGCCCACUCAUCUCUGCUUUAAACAUGUACUAAGAUUUUCUUCAUCUUUUUGCUUUUGCUGUCUGGUCCCUUUAAAUAGAUGCAAUAAUGUGCUUACAAACACGUCCUCAGAAAUUCCGUAGGUAUUCCCCAGCAGGGAUCUGGACUCCUUCUCCAGAAUGCAUGCAGGCCUCCUCUUCCUGCUCUGUGUCUCACUUUCAGCUCCCCUCAUUGCUCAAUUUCCU
rnacentral:lncRNA from 10 species